UCGCUUAAAGUCCAAAUUUUAAGUCCCGCCUGCCCAUAGAUAGUUAAAUGGCCGCAGUAUACUGACUGUGCAAAGGUAGCAUAAUCAUUUGUCUUCUAAUUAAAGGCUAGUAUGAACGGCGAGACGGGGCAGUGUCUUUACCAUAGUUAAGUCUUAAUUUAAUUUGCGAGUUAAAAAGCUCACAUGCUAUUGCAGGACGAGAAGACCCCAUAGAACUUGAUAACGUGUCCCAUUAUUUACAGCAGAUUCUUACAAAAAAUGCCGUGGUGUUAUUUAGUUGGGGCGACUUGAAGUAAAAUAACACUUUAACUUAAAACUAAUAUCUGUGGCUAAAAGAUCCGAAUGUCGAUUUAAAAUAAAGUUACCUUGGGGAUAACAGCGUAAUUUAAUUUCAGAGUUCUUAUCAAAAAUUAAGGUUGCGACCUCGAUGUUGGAUUAAGAUUCAAGUAAAGUGCAGAAGCUUUAAAUUGGGGUCUGUUCGACCUUUAAUAUCUUACAUGA
rnacentral:rRNA from 1 species